GGGGGUAUAGCUCAGUGGUUAGAGCACCCGCAUACGUAUCGGAAGGUCGGGGUUUCGACUCCCUCUGCCUCCA
rnacentral:tRNA from 1 species